CCGUGUAGCAGCGUUUUAAGUAUUACCCACCUAGCUACCUAGUAAAUAGUAGUGCGUGUGGUGCCUGCGCUCGAACAUAACGUCUGCGGGUCUGGGACCUCGCGAAAUGUUGGCCCGGAAUAAUUAGGGAGCCGCGAGCUAUAGAUGUGGAGGUAAAACUAUACCGCGUCGCCGUAGGAACAAUUAUUAUUAUACAGGGUGAUUGUGGAUGCGUCGGUGGAAUACGCGGUUAUACGAGACAUAAUACACAUUGAGUCUAGAGGAACACGAC